UAGGGAAUAUUGGUAAUGUGCGAAAGCGCGAACCAGCAACGCCGCGUGCACGAUGAAGGCCUUCGGGUUGUAAAGUGCUUUUAGAGAGGAUGAGGAAGGACAGUACUUUCUGAAUAAGCCUCGGCUAACUACGUGCCAGCAGCCGCGGUAAAACGUAGGAGGCUAGCGUUAUCCGGAUUUACUGGGCGUAAAGCGCGUGCAGGUGGUUUCGUAAGUUGGAUGUGAAAGCUCCUGACUUAACUGGGAGAGGUCGUUCAAAACUGCGAGGGUUGAGAGUGGUAGAGGGAGGUGGAAUUCCGGGUGUAGUGGUGAAAUGCGUAGAUAUCCGGAGGAACACCAGUGGCGAAAGCGGCCUCCUGGACCAUUUCUGACACUAAGACGCGAAA
rnacentral:rRNA from 1 species